AACGAACGCUGGCGGCGUGGAUAAGACAUGCAAGUCGAACGGGACUUUUUUCUGUAGCAAUACAGAGAAAAGUCUAGUGGCGAACGGGUGCGUAACACGUGAGCAACCUGCCGUGAAGCGGGGGAUAGCUGGGCGAAAGGCGAAUUAAUACCGCCUGUGGCCAAGGAAGACAUCUUCCUGACGCCAAAGCCGGGGCAAGCUGGCGCUUAUCGAAGGGCUCGCGGCCUAUCAGCUUGUUGGUGAGGUAACGGCUCACCAAGGCUAUGACGGGUAGCUGGUCUGAGAGGACGACCAGCCACACUGGAACUGAGACACGGUCCAGACACCUACGGGUGGCAGCAGUCGAGAAUUUUUCACAAUGGGGGAAACCCUGAUGGAGCGACGCCGCGUGGAGGAUGAAGGUCUUCGGAUUGUAAACUCCUGUCAUUAGAGAACAAGGCACACGGUUUAACUGGCCGUGUGUUGAUAGUAUCUGAAGAGGAAGAGACGGCUAACUCUGUGCCAGCAGCCGCGGUAA
rnacentral:rRNA from 1 species